rnacentral:rRNA from 1 species
GACGAACGCUGGCGGCGUGCUUAACACAUGCAAGUCGAACGAAGAGCGAUGGAAGCUUGCUUCUAUCAAUCUUAGUGGCGAACGGGUGAGUAACGCGUAAUCAACCUGCCCUUCAGAGGGGGACAACAGUUGGAAACGACUGCUAAUACCGCAUACGAUCUAACCUCGGCAUCGAGGAAAGAUGAAAGGUGGCCUCUAUUUAUAAGCUAUCACUGAAGGAGGGGAUUGCGUCUGAUUAGCUAGUUGGAGGGGUAACGGCCCACCAAGGCGAUGAUCAGUAGCCGGUCUGAGAGGAUGAACGGCCACAUUGGGACUGAGACACGGCCCAGACUCCUACGGGAGGCAGCAGUGGGGAAUCUUCCGCAAUGGACGAAAGUCUGACGGAGCAACGCCGCGUGAGUGAUGACGGCCUUCGGGUUGUAAAGCUCUGUUAAUCGGGACGAAAGGCCUUCUUGCGAACAGUUAGAAGGAUUGACGGUACCGGAAUAGAAAGCC